UACGUAGGGUGCAAGCGUUAUCCGGAAUUAUUGGGCGUAAAGGGCGCGUAGGCGGUGCGGUAAGUCACCUGUGAAAUCUCCUGGCUCAACUGGGAGCUUGCAGGCGAAACUGCCGUGCUGGAGUGUGGGAGAGGUGCGUGGAAUUCCUGGUGUAGCGGUGAAAUGCGUAAAUAUCAGGAGGAACACCUGUGGCGAAAGCGGCGCACUGGACCACAACUGACGCUGAGGCGCGAAAGCUAGGGGAGCAAACAGG
rnacentral:rRNA from 1 species